AAGGGAUAACCGCUGAAAGCAUCUAAGCGGGAAGCUCGCUUCGAGAUAAGGUUUCCCACUGGUUUACCAGGUAAGGCCCCCAGCUAGACGACUGGGUUGAUAGGCCGGAAGUGGAAGAGGCGCAAGCCUCGGAGCUGACCGGUACUAAUAGGCCGAGGAUUUAACUACAA
rnacentral:rRNA from 1 species